CCCAUUUAGCGGCCUUAAAGGCUUCAGCGAUGUAAAGAGGGAAUGGAAAGCAGGAGGGAGGAUAAUCCCGGGAGAGCAGCCCUGUUAUUUUGGGGAGCAAAACGCCACAAAAGACAGGAAAGUGGGAUGGUGACAACAACAACAAUAAAUGUGUCUUUUUGGAGAGGAUGUCCAUAUUCUGUGGAGAGAAAAAGCAACAUAUAAAUAAACAAAACAACAACAACGACUGACUCUGCGGCAAAUCCAUUCGUAUCUGGACAGACAGGAAAGUGGGAUGGUGACAACAACAACAAUAAAUGUGUCUUUUUGGAGAGGAUGUCCAUAUUCUGUGGAGAGAAAAAGCAACAUAUAAAUAAACAAAACAACAACAACGACUGACUCUGCGGCAAAUCCGUUCGUAUCUGGACAGACAGGAAAGUGGGAUGGUGACAACAACAACAAUAAAUGUGUCUUUUUGGAGAGGAUGUCCAUAUUCUGUGGAGAGAAAAAGCGACAUAUAAAUAAACAAAACAACAACA